rnacentral:rRNA from 1 species
GACGAAGGGGGCAAGCGUUGUUCGGAAUUACCGGGCGUAAAGGGCGCGUAGGCGGUUCUUUAAGUCAGGCGUGAGAGCCCUGGGCUCAACCUGGGAGUGGCGCUUGAUACUGGAGGACUAGAGAGUGGGAGAGGUUGGUGGAAUUCCCAGUGUAGAGGUGAAAUUCGUAGAUAUUGGGAAGAACACCGGUGGCGAAGGCGGCCAACUGGACCAUUUCUGACGCUGAGGCGCGAAAGCGUGGGGAGCAAACAGG